rfam:Schistosoma mansoni, Puerto Rico, WGS project CABG01000000 data, contig: 0154
AGCUUUUUGAAUCCGUGCUGAGAUUUCGUCAGACACCAACCCAUUAGGACUUAUCAGACUUCUGAGAUAAGUGAAGUU